GAUCGGACAGUACGUUGCGGCUUGCAGGUGUGAUGUGACGCAAUUAUGCCACGGCAGAAAGUUAUAGCAUGAACAUAUAUUGGCAAUAUAACUACUUUUGUUUUCAGACUAGAACAAAAGGAGUAAUCAUAGACCACUAAUGUUUCUAACAGUUUGAGUGUGAAUGAAGAGAAUAACAGAAGGAAGAACUGCCCCCAAAAAUUCUCCAUUACCUGCAGAAAAGAUGUAAGGUCAGAACAGAAAUAUCAUUGGGUUGGAAGUGUGUUGGACAGAAGACGUUGACUGUUGAGACGUCGGUUGUUGCAGUGCUACCAACUUACUCCUGUAGUGCAAGCUUCAGGCAAAAAAGUAUUUUUGAUCAAUUGGUUAAUUGUAAAUAAAUUUUUUCUUA